GAGGACCGCCACCCCACCCUGAACACACCUGGUCGUGUCUGGUUUUGAAAGCUAAGCAGGGCCGGGCCUCUUUCUUUCGUGCCUGGAAGGGAGACCCACCGUGAGCUCCCACGGAGCGGCCAGGC
rnacentral:rRNA from 1 species